UACGUAGGCAGCAAACGUUGUUCGGAAUUACUGGGCGUAAAGAGUGUGUAGGCGGCUUUGUUAGUUUGGUGUGAAAUCUCCCGGCUUAACUGGGAGGGUGCGCCGAAUACUGCAAGGCUAGAGUACUGGAGAGGAAAGCGGAAUUCCUGGUGUAGCGGUGAAAUGCGUAGAUAUCUGGAGGAACACCGGUGGCGAAGGCGGCAUCCUGGACCAAUUCUGACGCUGAGGAGCGAAAGCCAGGGGAGCAAACGGG
rnacentral:rRNA from 1 species